rnacentral:tRNA from 2 species
GGCGGAGUAGCUCAGUUGGUUAGAGCAGCGGAAUCAUAAUCCGGAGGUCGGUGGUUCGAGUCCACUCUCCGCUACCA